UUAGGGGCGGACGGGUGAGUAACGCGUGGAAAACCUGCCGUAUACUGGGGGAUAACACUUAGAAAUAGGUGCUAAUACCGCAUAAGCGCACAGCUUCGCAUGAAGCGGUGUGAAAAACCCUGGUGGUAUACGAUGGUUCCGCGUCUGAUUAGCUAGUUGGUGGGGUAAUGGCCUACCAAGGCAACGAUCAGUAGCCGGCCUGAGAGGGUGAACGGCCACAUUGGGACUGAGACACGGCCCAAACUCCUACGGAAGGCAGCAG
rnacentral:rRNA from 1 species